rnacentral:rRNA from 1 species
CAUGCAUGUCUAAGUAUAAGCAAUAUACAUAGUGAAACUGCGAAUGGCUCAUUAAAUCAGUUAUCGUUUAUUUGAUAGUACCUUACUACUUGGAUAACCGUGGUAAUUCUAGAGCUAAUACAUGCUAAAAACCCCGACUUCGGGAGGGGUGUAUUUAUUAGAUAAAAAACCAAUGCCCUUCGGGGCUCCUUGGUGAAUCAUGAUAACUUAACGAAUCGCAUGGCCUUGCGCCGGCGAUGGUUCAUUCAAAUUUCUGCCCUAUCAACUUUCGAUGGUAGGAUAGUGGCCUACCAUGGUAUCAACGGGUAACGGGGAAUUAGGGUUCUAUUCCGGAGAGGGAGCCUGAGAAACGGCUACCACAUCCAAGGAAGGCAGCAGGCGCGCAAAUUACCCAAUCCCGACACGGGGAGGUAGUAACAAUAAAUACUGAUACAGGGCUCUUUUGGGUCUUGUAAUUGGAAUGAGUACAAUUUAAAUACCUUAACGAGGAACAAUUGGAGGGCAAGUCUGGUGCCAGCAGCCGCGGUAUUCCAGCUCCAAUAGCGUAUAUUAAAGUUGUUGCAGUUAAAAAGCUCGUAGUUGAACCUUGGGCCUGGCUGGCCGGUCUGCCUCACCGCAUGUACUGGUUCGGCCGGGCCUUUCCUCCUGGGGAUCCGCAUGCCCUUCACUGGGUGUGUUGGGGAACCAGGACUUUUACUUUGAAAAAAUUAGAGUGUUCAAAGCAGGCCUUUGCUCGAAUACAUUAGCAUGGAAUAAUAGAAUAGGACGUGCGGUCCUAUUUUGUUGGUUUCUAGGACCGCCGUAAUGAUUAAUAGGGAUAGUCGGGGGCAUCAGUAUUCAGUUGUCAGAGGUGAAAUUCUUGGAUUUACUGAAGACUAACUACUGCGAAAGCAUUUGCCAAGGAUGUUUUCAUUAAUCAGUGAACGAAAGUUAGGGGAUCGAAGACGAUCAGAUACCGUCGUAGUCUUAACCGUAAACUAUGCCGACUAGGGAUCGGGCGAUGUUAUUCUUUUGACUCGCUCGGCACCUUACGAGAAAUCAAAGUCUUUGGGUUCUGGGGGGAG